UACGGAGGAUCCGAGCGUUAUCCGGAUUUAUUGGGUUUAAAGGGUGCGUAGGCGGGAGAUUAAGUCGGUGGUGAAAUUUUGCAGCUCAACUGUAAAAGUGCCAUUGAUACUGGUUUCCUUGAGUGUGGAUGAAGUAGGCGGAAUUUGUGGUGUAGCGGUGAAAUGCAUAGAUAUCACGAGGAACUCCGAUUGCGCAGGCAGCUUACUAAAAUACAACUGACGCUCAGGCACGAAGGCGUGGGUAUCAAACAGG
rnacentral:rRNA from 1 species